rnacentral:rRNA from 1 species
UACGAACUGUGCAAACGUUAUUCGGAAUCACUGGGCUUACAGGGUGCGUAGGCGGUCUGUUAAGUAGGGUGUGAAAGCCCCCGGCUCAACCGGGGAAUUGCGCCCUAAACUGGCGGACUGGAGUGAGAUAGGGGUGUGCGGAACUUCCGGUGGAGCGGUGAAAUGUGUUGAUAUCCACAGGAACUCCGGUGGCGAAGGCGGCACGCUGGACCAUCUCUGACGCUGAGGCGCGAAAGCCAGGGGAGCGAACGGG